rnacentral:lncRNA from 1 species
UUUGUUGGUGACAUUUAAAUAUACAUCCAACUGUUGUUGUCAAAAGUACUCCAUCGAAAUAAACUAAUGCGAAAAAUUGAUUAUCCAUCUUCACUAAAUCUGAAAAAAAAUAAAUUAAAUUUCUAAAUAUGCAAUUUCAAAAAAAAAAUAUUGCCACAAAAAAAUAAAAUUAAUAUCUACUAACCUUACGAAUUCUUUUCUUUUUCUCUUCUUCUACAUAAAUUUUUUUCC